rnacentral:rRNA from 1 species
CACGUAGGGCGCAAGCGUUGUCCGGAAUUAUUGGGCGUAAAGAGCUCGUAGGCGGUCUGUUGCGUCCGCUGUGAAAACUCGGGGCUUAACCCCGAGCCUGCAGUGGAUACGGGCAGACUAGAGGUAGGUAGGGGAGAAUGGAAUUCCCGGUGUAGCGGUGAAAUGCGCAGAUAUCAGGAGGAACACCGGUGGCGAAGGCGGAUCUCUGGGCCUUACCUGACGCUGAGGCGCGAAAGCUAGGGGAGCAAACAGG